UACGUAGGGCGCGAGCGUUGUCCGGAAUUAUUGGGCGUAAAGAGCUCGUAGGUGGUUUGUUGCGUCUGCCGUGAAAACCCGAGGCUUAACCUCGUGGCUUGCGGUGGAUACGGGCAGACUUGAGGUAGGUAGGGGAGAAUGGAAUUCCUGGUGUAGCGGUGGAAUGCGCAGAUAUCAGGAGGAACACCGAUGGCGAAGGCAGAUCUCUGGGCCGUAACUGACGCUGAGGAGCGAAAGCGUGGGGAGCGAACAGG
rnacentral:rRNA from 1 species